rnacentral:RNase_P_RNA from 2 species
GCUUUACGUUGGAUAACUGCUGUGUUUUCGUAAGAAAAUAUAGAGGAAAGUCCGAACAUUGAGCCAUUAAAUUGACACGGGUAGCGGGUAACCCCCGUCUGGAACAACCUGCCUGCCGGUAGGCUGGUCCAAGAGGUGCGAGCAGAAACGACCAAGGCGAAAGCUUAGGAUACCCUUCUGGGGUAAAUUUGACAGUAAUGUCAAAACGAAACGGCAAAAUCCUUACUUCAAUGCAAGGCCGUGUCUACCUUUUAGGUGGAAGUGCCGCUAGAUCCCUAGAGCAAUUUAGGGACAAGAUAAAUAGUUGUCACCAAAUACAAAUUCGUACUUGGAACAGAAUUCGGCUUAUAGGCGUAAGGUGUAA